rnacentral:rRNA from 1 species
CCUACGGGAGGCAGCAGUGGGGAAUAUUGCACAAUGGGGGAAACCCUGAUGCAGCGACGCCGCGUGAUGGACGAAGUAUUUCGGUACGUAAACUUCUAUCAGCAGGGAAGAAAAUGACGGUACCUGACCAAGAAGCCCCGGCUAACUACGUGCCAGCCGCCGCGGUAAUACGUAGGGGGCAAGCGGUAUCAGGAUUUAUUGGGUUAAAAGGGUGGGCAGGCGGAUUUUUAAGUCAGCGGUCAAAUCGUGGGGCUCAACCCCAUCCAGCCGUUGAAACUGGGGAUCUAGAGUGUGCGAGAGGUAUGCGGAAUGCGUGGUGUAGCGGUGAAAUGCAUAGAUAUCACGCAGAACCCCGAUUGCGAAGGCAGCAUACCGGUGCACAACUGACGCUCAGGCACGAAAGCGUGGGUAUCGAACAGGAUUAGAUACCCGGGUAGUC